GGAGGGGUGCGAGCGUUAAUCGGAAUUACUGGGCGUAAAGCGCGCGUAGGGCGGCUUGGUCAGUCGGGAUGUGAAAGCCCCGGGCUUAACCUGGGAAUUGCAUUCGAUACUGCCCAGACUAGAGUAUGGGAGAGGGAAGCGGAAUUUCCGGUGUAGCGGUGAAAUGCGUAGAUAUCGGAAGGAACACCAGUGGCGAAGGCGGCUUCCUGGCCCAAUACUGACGCUGAGGUGCGAAAGCGUGGGGAGCGAACAGGAUUAGAUACCCUGGUAGUCCGCGCCGUAAACGAUGAGAACUAGAUGUCGGGAGGAUUUGCCUCUCGGUGUCGCAGCUAACGCGUUAAGUUCUCCGCCUGGGGAGUACGCCGGCAACGGUA
rnacentral:rRNA from 1 species